ensembl:lncRNA
GUAGUACUACUAUAGAUACUAGGUAGUACUACUAUAGAUACUAGAUAGAAGUACUAUGGAUACUAUGUAUUACUAGUGUAGAUAGUAGAUAGUAGUACUAUUGAUACGAGGUGGUACUACUGUAGAUAGUAGAUAGUAGUGCUAUGGAUACUAGGUAGUACUACUAUAGAGAGUAGAUGGUAGUACUAUCGAUACUAGGUAGUACUACUAUAGAGAGUAGAUGGUAGUACUAUCGAUACUAGGUAGUACUACUAUAGAGAGUAGAUAGUAGUACUAUCGAUACUAGGUAGUACUACUAUAGAGAGUAGAUAGUAGUACUAUGGAUACUAGGUGGUACUACUGUAGAUAGUUGCUAGGCACCACUGCUCCUGUUUUCCUUCUACCUGAAGCUGCUCCGGUGUGACGGGGAAGACGGACGGAAGCCUUUCUGAGGCGGUGAUACUUCCCACCGACCGGAGGCCAGUGUGUCCGCUUUACGAUGGAUCCCGAUUGGUCGGUUCCCCCUGGCGGUUUAGAUUAAUCAGGGGAGAGAGAGAGACGGAGAAAGAGAGAAAGG